GCAAUUAUAAAUAAUGAAAAUUAAUUAAUUGAUUAAUAAGCACCUUUUCCUUUUAGGAAGGGAUCUUCAUUCUAUUAUAAUCUCCAGGUGUUGGGGAGGACCAUAAUAAGAGGAUCUCUGAAAAUCAGGCCCUUCACAGCUCUGGAAGACCAGGGCCAAAUAGGUUCUCAGCAGUUCAUCCAGAAACAGUGUUAAUCCAAUGGAGCACAUUUAUGGCAGUUGGAUCAGUUCUGCUUGGGGUUUUAUUUUGGACACCAUAUUGCUUCAGACUAUAUAUGCCAUCUGAGCUCAAGAUGGACAGUAUUUUCAACUCUGCUGGAAGUCACAGUUGUCAAGAAAAGAUUUCAAACUGGCAGGUCAAUUAAAAGCACGGAACCCCUGCUUCUAGGCAAAUUUCCAUACUGACCCAGAACAGUGUAUCAAUGGUCUUUU
rnacentral:lncRNA from 1 species